rnacentral:misc_RNA from 1 species
AAGUCGUAACAAGGUUUCCGUAGGUGAACCUGCGGAAGGAUCAUUAUCGAGUUCUGACUGGGUUGUAGCUGGCCUUAUGAGGCAUGUGCUCGCCUUGCUCAUCCACUCUACACCUGUGCACUUACUGUGGGUUUCAAAUGUGAAAGUGAGCCCUUGUGGGUUCAUUGAAGCAUUUGUGCCUGCGUUUCUUACACACUCUAAAGUCAAUGAAUGUAUUGCGAUAUAACGCAUCUAUAUACAACUUUCAGCAACGGAUCUCUUGGCUCUC